rnacentral:rRNA from 1 species
GCAUCGAUGAAGAACGCAGCGAAAUGCGAUAAGUAAUGUGAAUUGCAGAAUUCAGUGAAUCAUCGAAUCUUUGAACGCACAUUGCGCCUAGCAGUAUUCUGCUAGGCAUGCCUGUCCGAGCGUCAUUU